rnacentral:rRNA from 1 species
GGUUGAUAGGCCAGAUGUGGAAGCCCGGUAACGGGUGGAGCUGACUGGUACUAAUAGGCCGAGGGCUUGUCCUCAGUUG